rnacentral:rRNA from 1 species
CCUACGGGAGACAGCAGUGAGGAAUAUUGGUCAAUGGCCGGAAGCCUGAACCAGCGAAGCCGCGUGAAGGACGAAGGUGCCAAGCAUUUUAAACUUCUUUUGUAAAGGGACAAAAUCAGGCUCGAGAGCCUGACCGAGGUGACUUUAAGAAAAAGCAUCGGCUAACCCCGUGCCAGCAGCCGCGGUAAUACGGAGGAUGCGAGAGGUAUCCGGAAUGAUUGGGUUAAAAGUGUGCGUAGGCGGGCUGUUAAGUCAGCGGUAAAAGCCCGGGGCUCAACCCCGGCGAGCCGUUGAAACUGGCUGUCUUGAGAUGGCGAGAGGUAAGCGGAAUGCCCAGUGUAGCGGGGAAAUGCUUAGAUAUUGCGAAGAACUCCGAUUGCGAAGGCAGCAUACCGGCGGCGUUCUGACGCUGAGGCACGAAAGCGUGGGUAUCGAACAGGAUUAGAUACCCCUGUAGUC